ensembl:lncRNA LINC01933 long intergenic non-protein coding RNA 1933
AGACAUGUGGAAGCCCUUGCCACUGGCACUCUCUUGUACUCUGAAACAACCCAUUUCUCUCAGCUCAGACACCAGGCUGCUGGAGAAUUGGAGAACCAAAAUAGACUGAACGUCUAGUCACCCUCCUAGAAUUCCCCAUCUGCUCUGACAAAGUUCUGGGGACACCCAAGGUGAAACCCACCCAGCAGAACAUUGAGAACAUGACCGAGAUUUAGCUGGACUUUGGUUCCUAACCACAGUGGCUCAUUCACAGAAAAAGGCCCUAAGACAAUGUCUCUAGUCAGCUUUGUCUUCAACACAUUCCUAAGGUUUAAGAUUGGGAUGUGUUAGAGACGAAGGUUUGGUUCGUAUCUGACUUCCGGUGCUGCAGACCAUUGAUUGCUGCUGAAAUGUAGCAGCCAAACCUUUUAGAGCCACGCUAGCCAUCUGAUGUAAAGCAAAAAGCUGGAGACCUUUGACAAUUCUGCUUGGAAACAAUUUUUAUAUAUUAAUGAUCAUAGCAGCAGCUAAUAUUAGUUUGGCUUUUAGGGAAUCAGUAGAUGGUACCUACAUCUUUCUCUAAGUCCAAAGCCAAUGAAGAGACAGAUAUAAGAAUCAGAACAAUCGAUAUCAAAAUAUCAGGUCCAUUAUUGAUGAAUAUGAGGUUGGAGGAUUUGGCUUAGGGAUGAGGCAACAAGGCAUAUGUUAAUACUGUGCCUAAGAGGUUUUCAGCCCUUCUUUGUUGCACCUAAUGCAUGACCGAGAGCAGAUCUCGGUCACUCUGAUAAAUCUCUCCUCUCCCAUGGGGAAUGUGAGUGAGAAUGGGAAGAGAAGCCAGGAAUGUUGGUGUAGCUGAAGUUCCUGCACGUCAAAAUGGGAUGAGUGAGGAGUAGGUAUUUUCCACAGUCUUAUUGACUGAGUUCUUACUAGUUGCCAGAUACUGUGCAGACAGCAUCCAUGUAGACUAUCCAGUUUAAUUCUCUUUUCCACCUCAUAAGGAAAGUGCUAGUAUUAUCUUCAUCUUACUGAUAAGGAAACAGAGGCCCAGAAAGACCCACAACUUUACUAAGGUGACACAGCUAGUACGCGUCAAGAUGGGAUCCAGACCAAAGUCGGUCCGAGGCCACAACAGAUCUUGGAAGCAACAGGCUGCAGAGCCUCCCCUGCCUUACUGCACAGCGUUGCUGGGUGCUAUGAGGAGAUAAAGGAACAUGACGUUCUGGAUCAGAAGGCUUGGGCUAUAGCCCAGGCUCUGCCAUUUUUUAGCCUCCACAACUACAGUGCCCUUGCCUGCAAAAUAGGGAUGAUAAUGCCUUUCUUGAGAAGCUCAGGGAGUUUCUAUGAGGAUCAGAUUAUCUGAGUAGGCUGAACCAUCGGUGAAAAGGAGGCCAAGCAUCUCAAAAAUAGGACACGUGAGAGUAUGGAGCCAAUGUGACACUCAGAUUUGACACAUACAGAAGCGUGAAAAACUCUUGUGUGACUGGGAUAGCUCCUCUGCAAUGAGAACAUGCCUGGGAUAAUGUACUGAAAAGAUGUGAGAAAUACAUGAAGCAGAGUCCAGUCAUCCCAGCCAAGAACCAGCUGUGAAUGUAACCGCAUGACUUUGAGGCAAGUCCAGACCAAGAACAAAGAACCACUGGUCUUAAAGACAGACCUGCAGAUUCCUGAGCUAAAUAAAAGUUUAUUGUUGAAAGGCA